GAUGAACGCUGGCGGCGUGCUUAACACAUGCAAGUCGAACGAAACACCUUAUUUGAUUUUCUUCGGAACUGAAGAUUUGGUGAUUGAGUGGCGGACGGGUGAGUAACGCGUGGGUAACCUGCCCUGUACAGGGGGAUAACAGUCAGAAAUGACUGCUAAUACCGCAUAAGACCACAGCACCGCAUGGUGCAGGGGUAAAAACUCCGGUGGUACAGGAUGGACCCGCGUCUGAUUAGCUGGUUGGUGAGGUAACGGCUCACCAAGGCGACGAUCAGUAGCCGGCUUGAGAGAGUGAACGGCCACAUUGGGACUGAGACACGGCCCAAACUCCUACGGGAGGCAGCAGUGGGGAAUAUUGCACAAUGGGGGAAACCCUGAUGCAGCGACGCCGCGUGAGUGAAGAAGUAUCUCGGUAUGUAAAGCUCUAUCAGCAGGGAAGAAAAUGACGGUACCUGACUAAGAAG
rnacentral:rRNA from 1 species